rnacentral:tRNA from 1 species
CAGGAAGUAGUUUAUUUAAAAUAUUAAUUUUGGAGAUUAAUGAUGGGCUAUAAUUUUCCUUUCCUGA